GAACUAAAACCUUAAUUUCACUUAAUUUUGAAAAAUCAUUGACUGCUACUAAUUGUUUGAUUGCUAAUGAAUAGACUAAUGAAUUUAUUGAUUUUGUCUUAUUUUUUGAAUCCCUAAGUGUAACUCCCACAGCUUUCUCCCUCUGUUUCGAUUUCUUUUUGUCUUUUCGACGCUUUGGCGCUGCUCUCGAACUCUCUCUUUAUCGGGUGAAGGAGAUUCCAAGAUUCAAAGUGAAGAACCCUAAUCCCAAGACAACAAUACAAGUUGAAAAUCUUUCUUUGUUAAGUCGACAGCUCCGAGGUGAAGGAGAUUCCAAGAUUCAAAGUGAAGAACCCUAAUCGUGUCGUCUUUCAAUCGCAAUCUGAAUUCUGCAAAGUUUCAAUCAAGCAUUUUUGGUACUGUUGUUCCUGGCAAGCCAUCUUCCUUACAAAAAUGUAUUGCUAGGAGUAUGCAGCCUAUCAAAGCAACUGCAAUGCCUCCUACAGUUGUUCUUCAACCAACAUCUCGUACUAUUCUUUGUUUCAGUUGUUUAUUGACUAUGUUUUGGUCGGAUUUGACGAUUGGUAUUACGGAUAGCAACAUCUAGGGAUGACAUGAAUGUUGUGGCUGUCAAUGAUCCCUUUGUUGAUGCAUGGAAAGAAGUUGUGCUUUGCUUCUAUUUUCUUUGGGUUCCUCCCCAGACAUCUUGAAUUGUUUUACACGUAAUGUAUUUUCAAUAGUAACAUAAUCUCCUUCCAGUUGUUGGGCUGUAAGCUGAACUUAGCAGUUAUUGGCAAGCUCAAGUUGCUAAAAGAUAAUUGUAGUUCAUUUGA